CCUACGGGAGGCAGCAGUAGGGAAUAUUGCUCAAUGGGGGAAACCCUGAAGCAGCAACGCCGCGUGGAGGAUGAAGGUUUUCGGAUUGUAAACUCCUUUUGUUAGAGAAGAAAAUGACGGUAUCUAACGAAUAAGCACCGGCUAACUCCGUGCCAGCAGCCGCGGUAAUACGGAGGGUGCAAGCGUUACUCGGAAUCACUGGGGGUAAAGAGCGCGUAGGCGGGAUAGCAAGUCAGAUGUGAAAUCCUAGGGCUUAACCAUAGAACUGCAUUUGAAACUGUUAUUCUAGAGUAUGGGAGAGGUAGGUGGAAUUCUUGGUGUAGGGGUAAAAUCCGUAGAGAUCAAGAGGAAUACUCAUUGCGAAGGCGACCUGCUAGAACAUAACUGACGCUGAUGCGCGAAAGCGUGGGGAGCAAACAGGAUUAGAUACCCUUGUAGUC
rnacentral:rRNA from 1 species